AGAGAAGAAGAGAGAGAGGAGGGAGCAAAUCCCAACCGAUUGGAGUGAUUCAAAAGCCUAAACCACUCUAAAUCUUCUCCUCUUUCAUAAUCCUAGCUUUGUUUUGAGUGGGGAGCAUUGUGGAGAGAGAUAUUACCUCUCAAAAAUUCGGCCCUUUGGUGAAAAUUGGGGUUUUGAGAGUUUCUACCUCCAUUGAAGCUUGAGGAGCCAUCAAUCCUUGGUUGUGUGACCAUUGGUGGAUUGAGACAUUUGGACCAACCGUGAGUGAUCAACCAUUGGAGCAAGCUAUGGAGCUUGAAUAGCUCAUUGGAAUUGGUGUAUGUUUGUAAAAGUUGAUUGCUGAAACUGUUGGUGAAGAACAAAGGUUGACUGAAGCAUUGAGGUAAGGAUGCUGCAGGAGCCUCUGGUGGCAAGUGGCCAUACCUAGAUUAUGCAUGAAAUAUGGCACUUCUUUGAGUUUAUGCAUGCCUUUUGUAGUUGACAUGUAUAGGAUUUUAUUUUGAAAGCCCAUG